UAAAAUUGACUAAAAUAAUGGAAAACAUGACAAAUAAGCAAAAUCAAAAUAAUUAUAUAUCUAAUUACAUAUUUUAAGUUAUAUUAUUUAAAUUAAUAAAUUAUGGACUCAACUAAAAACUAUUAAUAAAUUAAUGACUCAGCUUAAACCUAAUUAAGACAUGACAAAUAAGCAAAAUUACCUAAAAUCAUGGAAAUCAUGACAAAUAAGCUAAAUCACUUCAUAGAUAAUAGUAUAGAUAAGAAUAUCUAUACUAUUAAAAGAGAAUGAUUCUUAAAAAACCUAGGAAAAAUUUUAUGUUUACCACUUUCAUGAUACCCUUUUUUAUCUUUACCACCACUAAAGGGAUAUUUUCAAAAAUAUCUUCUUCAUUAAGUGACAAAAGACUUUUAUACCCUUGUUAUCUAUAUAUAUAUAUAUAUAUAUAUAUAUAUAUAAUAAAUCAUUAUUUUUUAAUUUUUGUAAAUAUUUUUUAAGUAUUUAUUUAUAUAUUUAUUAGAAUCCUAAAUUUCACAUUCUAAAAACCCUACUCCACCCCU
rnacentral:lncRNA from 1 species